CGGUGGGGCAUGUGGUUCAAUUUGACGCAACGGGAAAAACCUUACCUGGGUUUGACAUGUCGGUGGUAGGAAACCGAAAGGGGCCCGACCCCGCAAGGGGAGCCGACACAGGUGCUGCAUGGCUGUCGUCAGUUCGUGUCGUGAGAUGUUGGGUUAAGUCCCGCAACGAGCGCAACCCUCGCCCCUAGUUGCCAACGGAUCAUGCCGGGAAUUUUAGGGGGACUGCCCCGGUUAACGGGGAGGAA
rnacentral:rRNA from 1 species